rnacentral:rRNA from 1 species
CCUACGGGUGGCAGCAGUGAGGAAUAUUGGGCAAUGGGCGCAAGCCUGACCCAGCAACGCCGCGUGAAGGAAGAAGGCCUUCGGGUUGUAAAAUUCUUUUGACAGGGAAGUAUAGAGGACGAUGCCUGGGAAUUAGUAUGUAGCUUACUACGUGCCAGCAGCCGCGGUAAUACGGAGGUGGCAAGCGAUAUGCGGAUUUAGUGGGUGUAAAGGGCUUGUAGGGGGGUUGAUAAGUCAGAUGUGAAAGCUUGCGGCUUAACCGUAGAAUUGCAGUUGACCCUGGUGAUCUUGAGUACUGGAGAGGCAGACGGAAUUCCUGGUGUAGCGGUGAAAUGCGUAGAUAUUAGGAGGAACACCAGUGGCGAAGGCGGUUCGCUGGACAGCAACUGACGGUGAGGCGCGAAAGUGUGGGGAGCAAACAGGAUUAGAUACCCUUGUAGUC